UCAGAUCUGUCCCCAUGAAACACCAGCUUCCCAUCCUCCCUGCCCCAGGCCCUGGUAGACUCCAUUUUACUUUCUGUGUCUAUGAAUUUGACUACUCUGAAAUAGGUAUUUCACAUUUCAGUGAGCAUAAUGCCCUCAGGGUUCAUGUGAGAUGCUGUAACGCAUCAGAAUUUCCUUCCUUUUUAAUAAUUAAUCUGGUUAUUUCCUCUUUGGCGGCACUGGGUCUUCAUUGCUGCACGCGGGCUUCCUCUAGCUGUGGUGAGUGGGGGCUCCUCUCUCGUUGCGGCGUGGGGGCUUCUCACUGUGGUGGCUUCUUUUGUUGCGGAGCACGGGCCCUAGGAAGCACAGGUUUCAGGAGUUGUGCACACGGGCUUAGGUGCUCUGUGGCGUGUGGAAUGUUCCCGGACCAGGGAUCGAACCCGUGUCGCCUGCCCUGGCAGAUGGAUCCUUAACCACUGGACCACCAGGGCAGUCUUCCUUUCUUUUUCUUUUCUCCUUCCUUUUAAAGGCUGGAUCAUACACCUUCGUAUGGAUGGGCCACGUUUUGUGUAUCCAGGUGGGGAAGCGGAGUCGCCCGUCCACGGUUACGCAAAGCGGAGCGGUGGCACCAUCGUCCGAACCCAGGCGGCGGGCUCUUCCCCACCGCAGGAAGCCGGAUGCCUGAGAACGCAGGGGCGGAGGGUUUGGCCUUGGCCUGAGGCAUGCGGGAUCCUGGUUCCCCGACCAGGGAACGAACCUGUGCCCCUCUGCCGAGGAAGCACCGAGUCUUAACCCACUGGACCGCCAGGGAAGUCCCCAGAAGGCUCUUUUGGACACUUUUUGAACAAGCCUUGUCAGCUCUAAGCCCUCUGCCUUGUGCGAGGGCAUUCUGACCCUAGCGGGUGCGGUCGCCACCCACCCGCUCCGGCCCCUCUCCGCGCGUCCGGCACCAGAAGCAACCGUUCCUCCGCCGGGCUUAGGGGUUCGCGGUGCGCCCUGGCCGGCAGGCCUUUCCACCGGCUGUUUUCUCCGCCACAGGUGCAGUCGUUCCCCUCCCGCCCCUUUCCCGUGCUCAUUCUUACUCAUCUGGAUCCUGGUUUAAACACUACCUCUUUCAGAAAGCAUUCCGAGACGCCCCACGCUGAGUUAGCCGCCCCACCUCCGGGCUCCCCUCUGCCCUUACUGAUCUCUGCCUUAACGCCCAUCCCUCUGGGUCUUGAUUUGCCAGAGUCGGUGCGCACCGCCUCCCGCCAUCAGACAGGGAGCCCGUUGAGGGCAGGGACUGGGGCUGACUCAGCUCUGUUACCCCACGAACCCCCUGCAGGGCCUGGCUCCUGGGAGGUGCCUGGGCAAAUGUUUGUCUCCUGAAUAAAGGAUGAUCCUUAUCGCUCCUCUGCUCCCAAAUCUCCGUGGCUUCCCGCCCCUGCGACCUGGCCCCUCUUUCAUCUCUCCUCCACUCGCCCACCUCCGUCACUCCUCUGCCUCCCUUGGAGUUUGCACGUGCGGUUUCGCAGCCAGCAAAGAGGUCUUCCCCCGUGUCCACCCUACUUAAAUGUUUGACAUGAUUGAUCAAUUUGACAUGAUCGAUCAAUUUAUCACCAUUUGAAAUACUAGCUAUUCUACUUAUUUUCCUCCUUUUUGGGCCUCUCCCGUGAGAGCGGGCUUUUGUUUUGUUCAUUGCUGUCACAAAUUAGGUGCUCCAUAAAUAUUUGCAGAAUGACUGGAUGGAUGGACAGACACAUGUCUGUCUUCGGGUCUUGGAAUCUUCGGGUCAUGGAAUUUUUCCAGUGUUCAUAUGGGACCUUCAGGUUUUUGCCAGACUGUGUCUCUCGCCCUUGGA